UGUGAUUCUGUGUGAGGCACAAAUACUAGGAGACUGGGAAAUAGUUGACACCACUUUUCCCAAGGAUGAAGAUCACCUGAAGUGUGUCACUUUGCCAUGCAGAUUUGAUGCUCUGCAGAGAAGCCUUCUGUGAGGGAGAGAUUGAAUUGCCCAGAGACAGACCUGAAUCCAUUCCAGCGACUCCACCAUCACAGGCCACGGUGAAGCGAACCAAACGUAGUGAAACAGUAUUAGUGACAUGUGGGUGUUGUUGUGUGCCUUGUAUCAGAGCCUUGUUCGUAAGACUCAUCAAUCGUGCUGUGGGAGAAUCUGAUACAAAGGCAGACACCAUGAUGCCACUUUUGGGAAAUGGGGAGUCACAGUAUGAAAACAUUAUGGUGAGCGAUUUAGUUUAGUUUUAUCUGCCAUAGGGCAGAUAAAAA
ensembl:lncRNA